rnacentral:rRNA from 1 species
GGUUGUACGGGUACGGGAAUCAGGGUUUGAUUCCGGAGAGGGAGCCUGAGAAACGGCUACCACAUCCAAGGAAGGCAGCAGGCGCGGAAAUUACCAAAUCUAGACAGUAGGAGGUGGUGAAGAGAAGUACUAAGUGGUGGCCUUUGGCUAUCAGCUUGGAAUGAACGUAAUUUAAGCAAUUCGAUGAGUAACUAAUGGAGGGCAAGUCCUGGUGCCAGCAGCCGCGGUAAUUCCAGCUCCAUUGGCGUGAUUUAAAGUUGCUGCGUUUAAAACGCUCGUAGUUGGAUCAUGCGGUAGCAAUUAGUACUUGAUAGCAUGCAGUUGACUGCCAUAGUCGGUGUGCGCUAUCAAGGUUAUGCUAAUUGUUACUAUUUAAACGCAAAUAUGAUAUUUGGCCUUAAAUGAGUCGGAGUGUCAUGUUUUGCGAAGUUGUGCCUUGAAUAAAACAAAGUGCUUAAAGCAGGCGAACGCUUGAAUGUUAUAGCAUGGAACGAACAAACGUGUAUUUGUGUAUGACGUGUGAUAAUGGCGAAUCUCUGGUUUGCCGUUGUUACUGUUAUAUGCAGCACCUACCAAAGUACGAAUGUUGGUUUUCGUAUUCGGUGAUGAUUAAAAGGAGCGAUUGGGGGCAUUGGUAUUUUGACGCGAGAGGUGAAAUUCUAAGACCGUCAAAGGACUAACAAAUGCGAAGGCAUUUGCCCAGAUCGUAUCCAUUAAUCAAGAACGAAAGUGAGAGGUUCGAAGACGAUCAGAUACCGUCGUAGUUCUCACUGUAAACUAUGCCAACUCGGGAUCAGCUUGGUGAUAUCAAGUACUAAGUUGGUCCCCCGGCGAAACCA